CUUUUAAAGGAUAAUAGCUAUCCACUGGCUUUAGGCGUC
rnacentral:tRNA from 1 species